GUGACAGAUGUCUGCUGCCUCUUAUCUCAAAUAGUUUUGAAAAUCUCCUUUGGCCAGGAGCCCAAGUGUGAAGGAGCAAUUCUGUUUUAGACCAAACUUGUAAAGAAUCUGGAAAGGACGCUCAAUUGUCUGGGAGAAACAGAGAGAGCUGACAUCACCCCCUGGUCCCCCUGGAAUGCAGUGAUAAGUGUCAGCCUAUUUUUCUUACAGGCAAUUUCUCUGGCUAUGUGAUGUCUGGCUGCAAAUUUAAACCAUUUAAAGUUUCUCUGAAAUAGAAAUGCAGAUGGGAAACCAAGCAGCUGGGGCUUACUGAGGAGUCAGGGAGUCUGUUGCAGCAGAGCCCUGCAAAGCUGGCAGCUGCCAGAAGGAUUUGUUCCAUCCCUGAAUACCUGCGCCGCUGCUUCCCCCCGUGCUGCUGUCAGCAGAGGAACAAACAGGUUCACACCUGCUGCAUAGCUGGCCUUGGAGGAAUGCAUGUGCAAAUUUGGCAGGUUAAAUGCUUGAAGGAAUUGCAGAGUCAGGCUCCUGGAAAAUGAGGGCACACACCAAAAAAUCAGCACCUCAGCACAGGAGCAGGUGAGAA
rnacentral:lncRNA from 1 species